rnacentral:rRNA from 1 species
CCUACGGGAGGCAGCAGUGGGGAAUAUUGCACAAUGGGCGAAAGCCUGAUGCAGCGACGCCGCGUGAGGGAUGACGGCCUUCGGGUUGUAAACCUCUUUCAGUAGGGAAGAAGCGAAAGUGACGGUACCUGCAGAAGAAGCACCGGCUAACUACGUGCCAGCAGCCGCGGUAAUACGUAGGGUGCGAGCGUUAUCCGGAAUUAUUGGGCGUAAAGAGCUCGUAGGCGGUUUGUCGCGUCUGCCGUGAAAGUCCGGGGCUUAACUCCGGAUCUGCGGUGGGUACGGGCAGACUAGAGUGCGGUAGGGGAGACUGGAAUUCCUGGUGUAGCGGUGGAAUGCGCAGAUAUCAGGAGGAACACCGAUGGCGAAGGCAGGUCUCUGGGCUGUAACUGACGCUGAGGAGCGAAAGCAUGGGGAGCGAACAGGAUUAGAUACCCUGGUAGUCCAUGCCGUAAACGUUGGGCACUAGGUGUGGGGGCCAUUCCACGGUUUCCGCGCCGCAGCUAACGCAUUAAGUGCCCCGCCUGGGGAGUACGGCCGCAAGGCUAAAACUCAAAGGAAU